GGAGGGUCAUAAGGAAAACAAGGCGCCUGGUAUGGGGGUUAAUGAAUGCUGUUUGCCACCCAGGAAGUCUCCCUGAUCUUCACAAUCUACCAAUGUUUAGAAUUAAUAUUUCUUUCUUAGAACCUGUUGAAGGUCACACUGGGCUCUGGGUCUGCUUCAAGUGGAUUCAUUUUGAAGUUCAGCGUUUACUUGGAGAGGGGCUCAUCCAGUCCUGAGAGCAGGGGCCCGAGAAAACAGGAGAGCAUGAUGUGCUUCCCUGAGACCAGCCUGGGGAUUGACAAACUUCAGCCCUUGUUCCACUGGCUAAGGUAUCACAUACCGACCCCUGAGAAGCGGCCUUGUGCAGGAGGAAGAGAAAAGGCUGUGGAUACAGAAGGGUAAAACAUCAGGACCAAUAAGUCAAUCUAUCGUAUUAACUGACCAGCUGACCAACUACGGUUUUUAAACCCAAAGGCUCUCCUGAGGUGGCAACGCUGGUGGUGUGGAGGGAAGGUCACACCCAUCUGUCUCACUGUCACUGUGGUCGGGUGGCUUCCUUACGAUGGUGACCUUUAAGAAAGACUAAAAGAUUUGCAUUCAUGGAAGAAGUGGAUGGAGAAAGACCAUGGCUCCGUGGCGAACACCUGGAAGAGAGUAUCCUAAAGUGACAUGAAGGCAUGAAGAAGUGGGUCUGGAGAGUCAAGGGGAGGACAGGUCUGCCCUUCAACCUGCCCCCUGUGCUACUGCGUGCCAUUGGCCUUGAUAUGGAGGGACGUAAGGAUAGCUGUUUUGGUUAAAUUGCUUAGGAUAUACAGAUUGCUAAGACCUGCACCUCAUAUACAGUUAACACUCAGUUAAUUAUGAUUAGUUAUUAAUCGUUAUAGUAUUGGCAGAUGCAUAGGGUAUAAAUAGAAGAGGGAUGGGCUCUGCUUUGAGGGAUGGGCUCUGCUUUGUAUUUCAGAAAAUGUGCCCCAGGUGGCCACAUGGAAUCCACUGGGAGAUUAAGAGGAUAAUGACAUGGGCAGCAUUGAAGGAAGAGGGAAGACAUGAUCAGACACAAGGCGUACACGGGCGUACAUGCAGUUCUCGCCGACAGAUUGGGUGAGGGAUGUGAGGGGAAGCGAGACUUAGAGUAUGGCUUCGCUCCGCAGUCUGAGCAGAUAGGAGCCUUCCGGUGCAGCUCACUCGGCUAGUGGACACUUUGUGAAGGAAGUGGUGACAUGGCCAGAUUGGGCACCCAAAGAACUGACUGGUUUCGCAAAACUUUGGGUCUGGAACAGACACUCGGCACUAGACUCCGUGACCUGGCAAAUAACUGAUCAAACUGGGAAAAAGUCUCCAAUGCUCAGCCAGCGUGA